rnacentral:siRNA from 1 species
GUACGUAGCGGGUGGGUCCUGAAA